rnacentral:rRNA from 1 species
UACGGGGGGGGCAAGCGUUUGUUCGGAAUUACUGGGCGUAAAGGGCGCGUAGGCGGCCUACUAAGUCAGACGUGAAAUCCCCCGGCUUAACCUGGGAACUGCGUCUGAUACUGGAAGGCUUGAGGAUGGGAGAGGGAUGUAGAAUUCCAGGUGUAGCGGUGAAAUGCGUAGAUAUCUGGAGGAAUACCGGUGGCGAAGGCGGCAUCCUGGACCAUUACUGACGCUGAGGCACGAAAGCGUGGGGAUCAAACAGG